rnacentral:tRNA from 1 species
GCGCCUGUAGCUCAGUGGAUAGAGCAUCCGCCUUCUAAGCGGUUGGUCGCAGGUUCGAUCCCUGCCAGGCGCA